rnacentral:rRNA from 1 species
AGCGGCGGAAGGGAGAGUAACGCGUGGUUAUAUACCCUCGGGACCGGGAUAGUGUUGGGAAACUGGCAGUAAUACCGGAUAACAUCUUUGGAUCAAAUGGUGUGAUUCCGCCUGAGGAUUGGACCGCGUACUAUUAGCUUGUUGGCGGGGUAAUGGCCCACCAAGGCUGCGAUGGUUACCGGGUGUGAGAGCAUGGCCCGGCUCACUGGGACUGAGACACUGCCCAGACAUCUACGGAUGGCUGCAGUCGAGAAUCUUCGGCAAUGGACGAAAGUCUGACCGAGCGACGCCGCGUGCGGGAUGAAGGCCCUCGGGUUGUAAACCGCUGUCAGUAGUUAGGAAAUCCAUCAGGGUUCUCCCUGGUGGUUGACCGAUCUUCAGAGGAAGGACGGGCUAAGUUCGUGCCAGCAGCCGCGGUAAGACGAACCGUCCAAACGUUAUUCGGUAUCACUGGGCUUAAAGCGUGCGUAGGCGGCUUGGUAGGUGAGAUGUGAAAGCCCACGGCUCAACCGUGGAAUUGCGUUUCAAACCCCCAAGCUCGAGGAAGAUAGGGGUGAUGGGAACUUAUGGUGGAGCGGUGAAAUGCGUUGAUAUCAUAGGGAACACCGGUGGCGAAAGCGCAUCACUGGAUCUUUUCUGACGCUGAGGCACGAAAGCUAGGGUAGCGAACGGGAUUAGAUACCCCGGUAGUCCUAGCCGUAAACGAUGAACACUGGGUUGAGGGAACUAUCACAUUCUCUCGGCCGUAGCGAAAGCGUUAA